rnacentral:lncRNA from 1 species
GCUAAAUUCCAAGCCAAAUUGGGUGCUCAGCACCUUUUGCUCUUGCUGUGCAGAGGUGUUUGCAUUCAUUCAGGUGAUUCAUUCCUUGUUCCUUUUCCCUUUUCGCCUUUUCCUAAUCUAGUACUUACGUGAGAUGGCAGCUGAGUUUAUUUGGCCCACUUUCUCCUUAUGGCUAAACUUUGCUCACAUUCACUUCUAUGGAUUAAAGGAGGUCAGAAAGAAGAGCUGAUCGGGAGAGAAAGUGCCUUGGUCCUGUGACCACAUGUCUGAACCUGACACCGGGUUUGAUUGGCACCACAUUCUGGGCAGGGGGCUAAUGUGGGAUAGGAAGAUAAAAGGAGGGCAUGGGAAGCAGACUCAGGGAGUAGAAAGCAGGAAACACAGCUGCAGGAAAUCCAGGGUGGGUUUGCCCUCUACUGGAAAAGGGACCCAUAGUUUGUGGCCCAUGUCUGUCAUCUCUCACCAUCUCCCUCUUUGCCUCCCCUAAUGGCACCAAGAAUAGCCCACCUGAAGCAAAUUGCCGCACCUUGCCUCUUGGCAGGGCUGCCUCUGAAUCCCUGCAUAAGUAAAAAUGUUUUAGCUCCUCUGAUUCAGGUGGUGAAUCAGAGCUUGAAGAGACAUGAAGGAGGAGCUACAAGGAGCAUCCAAAGGUCUCUUGGGUGAACUAUUUUUCAUCUUGGGACCAUCAUUUUAAAUGAUAGUAGAGCAUACUAUGUUGACAGUUCCAUUAUAGAACCACAGAUCUACAGGAAAUGAUCCAAGUUAAGACCCAAUGUCAUUGAAGAACACCUGCUCCCACAUCUCGUACCCGCCCGGGUGAUAAGAUAAGCCUACUGUGGGCCCUCUCUGGGUACCCUGUCAUUAAAGAUCAAGCAGGUGAUGACUAGGGAGUAAGAUAUUUCAGCUGUGAUGCCCCACUUAUGGAAUUCCCACCCCAUUGAAGCAUACCCAUUGCCAACUCUGUUAUAUUUUCUGUUUUCCCUGGCUUUAUAAUUACUUCUUAUAUACCUUUAUAUACCUGUGGAUUUAUUAUAUAAUUUGCCUUGUUGUUGUUGUAUAUAGAGAUUUUUGUAUUCCUGUUAGGUUUUCCUUGUUGCUUUUUAUCGUUUUAAAUUUGCUUUGUAAUCUGUCCUGGGAGAGAGAUCAUGAAUGGGUGGCACAGAAGUGUUCUGGAUAAAUAAAAAGUCAACGAGAUGACAUACUCUGGAACUCUUCAUUCCCAUGGCUAGGAGAAAGCUCCGAGUCUUAACUGUUUAAACAAGACACACAAUCAGAUAAUACCCCAAGAUAGAGAGAGAGAGAGAGAGAGAGAGAGAGAGAGAAUCUGCAUUGAUAUUGGUGUGUUUGUUGUGUUCUUCAUAGAACCAUUUCAGCAGGUUUAUUCCAAAGGCUGAUGUACACAGUCUGAAUGGAUCAGGAGGCUGGGAAAAGGUGAAGUUGGAUUAGAUCCAACUUCAGCUAAAGAAAAGAAAAGAAGGAGACACUUGCGUCAUUGGUCUUCAGGACUUAUUCUUCAAACAAUAACUGGCAAGUCAAGGGAUGGAGGGGAAAAAUACUUCAGGACUGCAGCAUACUGGCUUCAUAACGCCAAUCUGAUGACUGCCUAUAUACAGGUACAUUGUUGGCACCUGUUGUUUUUUUUCUUAAAGAGAGGUAGAUGUCAGAUAGGACACAGUUCUUAACACACUGGUAAACAGCAGGCAUCUUAAUCAGGGAUUGCUUUGCAGCAGAAGUACCCUCCGACUAAGGCUUGUUUUACAAAGACAAACACGUCACUCGAUUCUAGAGCAAAGAUGGAGAGUAUAUGUAUGUCAGGAGUCUUGCUGGAUGAGACCAGGGCUAUUUUUCUUGAAAAGGAGGUCCCAGAACUCACCAUGAAACCUCCCUCAUUCUCUUAGAAUGGCAAUGGCACCCACCUGAGAAGGGCCAGAAUUGAGUUCCAGCAAGUUCAGGGAGAGAAAAAGGCCUGGAUCAGACCAAAGGUCCAUCUAUUACAGUGUUUGUAAUGAUAAAUCAUCAGUAUAGAUGGGACUUGGAAAAACCUGAAGGAGAGCCUGGCCACAUUCUGGCCACAAACAUUUGUCACCACCCUGCUUCUCUCAUGCUCAUUUUCUGCAGGAAGACACACAUGGAGAGGGGCUGAGAUUCAGAUGUAAAGGUCUUAACAGGAUGGCAGACUCUGACUUCCACCAUCUUCUUUCUCCCGUAAGGAGCCAGAAGGAAGGGCAGGGCUUUUCUUUUUUCAGCCAGAACUCACUGGAACUCAGUUCUGGCCCCUCUCAAGUGGGCACCUGAAAUAUACUCGGAGUCAAUAGUGGAUUUCAUGCUCUUUAUUCGGCUCAUAGUGGUGAGGAGGAAUGAAUGUUUCCCCAAAAUAUCUGCUUUAUAUACAUUAUUUACACAAUGGGCUGCACAUGAUUGGCUAAUUCCAGGAUUCUCCUGUGGGCCAAUCAGGCUGUGGAUUCACUUCCACCUGGAGCUGGAUUGGGUGGCUCCUGCAGACCAAUCAGACUGCUGCAUUUUGGAUCCUAUUCAACUCAGUACAUAACAGCACCACUGCCAUUAUAAGAGAAAAAGGGAGCUGUUCAUGGUGAGUUCUGGCACCUCUUUUUCUAGAAAAAUAGUGUUGGGGAGGGGACUUUGCAUAUUAAGAUUGUUCCUCAUCACACUGAUUUUAAAAAUACGCUUAUAAGGCAUAAUUAUUAUGGAGAAAAACUGCUGACAUCACAAGUUUAGGAAGCUGCAAAGAUGCCUUUCAGUCACUGGGAAUCUGCCACAGCUGGAUUCAGAUGCCUUUGGAAGAAACUUGGCCAUUGCUCUUUCAGGAAUAGUUGUAAUGUAGUGAAACCAAUUUGUCUGCAGAGCCAGGAGCUCAUAAAUUCAGCUCGUCCAGCCUAUUUGCAACUACAGAUUAGAAUUUUCUAGUUGUGAUACGAGGACAGUUCACACAGGAACUGAUUAUUACCUCUUGAAAGAAGUCGCAGCUUUUUGCAGCCUGCGUUAGCCUAUUAGAAAGCGAGUGAGCCAAAGGGAGAUCUUUCUUCCCUGUUCACAGGAUGUCAGCACUGUAUUAUGUUCAUGGCAAGAAAAACACUCUUGAGGAAAAGCAGAUAUCAAGGGCUUUUCAAUGCAUGUGCAUCCAUAAACUUUUCAGAUUAGAAGGAAGAAACAGUGGUGGGUUGGCCUUAUGGGUGUCCCAGGGGGCAGCUGCCCCAACUAAAUCAGUAAAAAGAAAUAAAAAGAAAUAAAAAUCUGAAGUUCUGCCCCCCACAACAAAAGCCUGCUCCCCCCCCAAAAAAAAUCCUGGCUACGCCCAUGGUUGGUCCUGAUUUUUUUUUUAAUUCAUACUUUCUUUCAGGUAAUAAACAUGAGAUAAUGACUUCAUCAGAGGUUACACAGUUCUAACCUCCAGAAUUUGAGGAUGCUGAAAUUGUACAUACAAAAAUGAAACAAUAAUGUAUUUUAUUUUUUAAAAACCCAAGUAUAGUAUAGCGCUCUCUCUCCCCCCCUCUCUCUCAAUUAAUGAUAAGUACACAAUGGGUCAACCUAUGUAGAACAUCUUUAGCUUACCACAAAGUAGCACCAUCCUUUAAGACUUUUUUUCUUUGUUAUCAAUGUAACACGAUGAGGUAACAAUAGCCACAUAGCAGGGAGAGGGGCCUAAAUUUUACACACUGAAUCAAAUCAACCAAUUACUCCUUUGAGUACAGGCUUCUAAGACGAAUAGGCUUUGGUUUAAGCAAUGUAACUACAUGCCAACUAUGCCAGAAAUGGAUACAGUAUUUCUUUGUAAACAAGCCACUGUGUUUUCCAUAUCUCAGGUCAAUUCCAGCAACCAGUCCCACAGUGACAUCCCUGCAAAAAUGUUCUGUAGGCAUGGCACAGGGAAGAGGACAUGAACCUAGGGAUGGAAGUUCUGGUUCCUUGGCAGAUUUUGGAGAUCCUUGGUCAAGAUCCUUAAUCUAGAAGAGGCGAGGAUUGAAAAGUGAGAAUUCUCUCAUGCUGCCUCAGAAUCUAUUGGGUGCUCCAUGGAAGAGUGUGGUUGUAGAGC